rnacentral:misc_RNA from 1 species
UCCGAGUUGACCCCGGCAGUCUCCGAUGAGUCCCCGGCAUAACCCGCUGGCAACAUCGGACAAGGGUUGCGCUCGUUGCGGGACUUAACCCAACAUCUCACGACACGAGCUGACGACAGCCAUGCACCACCUGUGACCGCCCCCGAAGGACACCACAUCUCUGUGGUUUCAGCGGCCAUGUCAAACCCAGGUAAGGUUCUUCGCGUUGCGUCGAAUUGAACCACAUGCUCCGCUGCUUGUGCGGGUCCCCGUCAAUUCCUUUGAGUUUUAGCCUUGCGGCCGUACUCCCCAGGCGGGGCACUUAAUGCGUUAGCGUCGGCACUCAGAGGGUCGCUCCCCCAAGCACCUAGUGCCCAUCGUUUACGGCGUGGACUAC